AUUGAACGCUGGCGGCAGGCCUAACACAUGCAAGUCGAGCGAGUGGCGGACGGGUGAGUAAUGUCUGGGAAACUGCCUGAUGGAGGGGGAUAACUACUGGAACCGGUAGCUAAUACCGCUAACCAUCAGAUGUGCCCAGAUGGGAUUAGCUUGUUGGUGUGGUAACGGCUCACCAAGGCGACGAUCCCUAGCUGGUCUGCGAGGAUGACCAGCCACACUGGAACGGAGACACGGUCCAGACUCCUACGGGAGGCAGCAGUGGGGAAUCUUGCGCAAUGGGCGCAAGCCUGAUGCAGCAAUGCCGCGUGUAUGAAGAAGGUCUUCGGGUUGUAAAGUACUUUCAUCGGGGAGGCGUUACCUGCACAAGAAGCACCGGCUAACUCCGUGCCAGCAGCCGCGGUAAUAC
rnacentral:rRNA from 1 species